rnacentral:rRNA from 1 species
AAUGGGCGAAAGCCUGACGCAGCGACGCCGCGUGAGUGAAGAAGGUCAUUAUGAUUGUAAAGCUCUGUAAAGAGGGAAGAAAAAAUUAAAAUUGACGGUACCUCUAAAGUAAGGACCGGCUAAACACGUGCCAGCAGCCGCGGUAAUACGUGUGGUCCGAGCGUUGUCCGGAAUAACUGGGCGUAAAGGGUGCGUAGGCGGAUAUACAAGUCAGGUGUGAAAUCCCCGAGCUUAACUUGGGAACUGCGCUUGAAACUGUAUAACUGGAGCAUGUCAGGGGUGAGUGGAAUUCCCGGAGUAGCGGUGAAAUGCGUAGAGAUCGGGAAGAACACCAGUAGCGAAGGCGACUCACUGGGGCAUAGCUGACGCUGAGGCACGAAAGCGUGGGGAGCGAA